GGGUUGUGAGGUUAAGCGACUAAGCGUACACGGUGGAUGCCCUGGCAGUCAGAGGCGAUGAAGGACGUGCUAAUCUGCGAUAAGCGUCGGUAAGGUGAUAUGAACCGUUAUAACCGGCGAUUUCCGAAUGGGGAAACCCAGUGUGAUUCGUCACACUAUCAUUAACUGAAUCCAUAGGUUAAUGAGGCGAACCGGGGGAACUGAAACAUCUAAGUACCCCGAGGAAAAGAAAUCAACCGAGAUUCCCCCAGUAGCGGCGAGCGAACGGGGAGCAGCCCAGAGCCUGAAUCAGUGUGUGUGUUAGUGGAAGCGUCUGGAAAGGCGCGCGAUACAGGGUGACAGCCCCGUACACAAAAAUACACAUAUUGUGAGCUCGAUGAGUAGGGCGGGACACGUGGUA
rnacentral:rRNA from 1 species